rnacentral:rRNA from 1 species
UACGGAGGGUGCAAGCGUUAUCCGGAUUCACUGGGUUUAAAGGGUGCGUAGGCGGACAGGUAAGUCAGUGGUGAAAUCUCUGGGCUUAACCCAGAAACUGCCGUUGAUACUAUUUGUCUUGAAUAUCCUGGAGGUAGGCGGAAUAUGUCAUGUAGCGGUGAAAUGCUUAGAUAUGACAUAGAACACCGAUAGCGAAGGCAGCUUACUACAGGAUGAUUGACGCUGAGGCACGAAAGCGUGGGGAGCAAACAGGAUUAGAAACCCCUGGU